AUGGGGGUUCAAGAGGCAAAAUCAGAAGUUGGAUCAAAACAAUUUGCUUUUCCAAAUGGCUCAAUUUGUUUUCCCAAAAUUCAAUUUCCACUUCCCAUUUUUCACAAAACAUACAUAGCUGUUACAAAAUUAAAGUAUGGAAUCGAGAUUCGAGUGGCAAACCCUAAAACCCAAUUUUCUUAUAACGAAGGAAUAGAGGACGAAAAUGGUAUGUGUUAG